rnacentral:rRNA from 1 species
AUCUGGUUGAUCCUGCCAGAGGCGACCGCUUUUGGAAUUCGAUUAAGCCAUGCGAGUAGAAUGAAUUAGAUCAUUGCAAACUGCUCAGUAACACGUGGAUAACCUGCCCUAUGCUCUGGGAUAACCUCGGGAAACUGAGAAGAAUACCGGAUAGACCACAACGCCUGGAACGGUGUGUGGUUGAAAGGUCACGGCAUAGGAUGGGUCUGCGGCGUAUCAGGUCGUAGGGGGUGUAACGGACCUCCUAGCCAUCGACGCGUACGGGUUGUGGGAGCAAUAGCCCAGAGAUGGAUUCUGAGACACGAAUCCAGACCCUACGGGGUGCAGCAGGCGCGAAAACUUCACACUGCAGGAAACUGUGAUGAGGGAACUCCAAGUGACUGCACAUUGUGUAGCCUUUUCUUUACUAUUAAUCGGUAUUGGAAUAAGGGCUGGGAAAGACCGGUGCCAGCCGCCGCGGUAAUACCGGCAGCUCGAGUGGUCGUCGCUUUUAUUGGGCUUAAAUCGUCCGUAGCCUGUUUGGUAAAUCUGUGGGUAAAUCAACCAGCUUAACUGGUUGAAUUCUGCAGAGACUGCCAGACUGGGGACCGGGAGAGGUGUGGGGUACUCUAGG